rnacentral:lncRNA from 1 species
AUGGGCAGCCUCAGGCCUGUCCACUGGCCCCUGAUCGUGGUCCACAUGCUUCUUCUGCAAAUGCCGCCCGUUAAGGUGCAGGGAGUUGAUCCUGUGUCCCAGAAACUACGACGACUCAACGAACAGUUCCAGCAGUUCCAGGCGCUGACCCAGGCCCGUUUGGACAUGUUGGCCCAGAAUCAGAACAGAAAUUCCUCGGGAGGGCUGGAUAACCGUGUUCAGGCCCUGAGUGACAACUGGCACCGCAUGUCACAGGACCUCCAACACCUCAAGCAGAGCACAACGCAGGAGAUACAGGGUCUCAGAGAGUGGAGCAGGAAGCUCGAGAAGAAGAGUAAACGUAUGGAGGGUCGACUGGCUUUGAUGGAGAGGAGCCUGAGGGGGAACCGCCGCCACGGCCAGAAACAGAAGCCUGACCCUGGUCAGGAUCUCUCCAACCUUACCCUGGAGCUCCAGAGCCAAGACGAAAGACUGGCUGCCCUUCAGGUCCAGCGAGACGAGCUCCUCAUUGGACUGAAAGGGCUGCAGGAAUCCCUGAAAAACCAGGCACUGCGCGUGACCCGGCUGGAGGGCCGUAUCGGUGAGGGCCUGCAGCAGAAUGGAGGAGGUUUGUGGGGUGUGGGAGAGCCCUUCAACUCUAAGAUCAAACCUCAGGCAUACUAUGAACCACGCAGGAGAAGCCAGACACAUAGAGGAGGCAGGCCUGGAAGGAUUCUGGACACUCUACCCAGAUCAGAAGAUAUCAUCUAUUCCCAGACUGAUAAUCAUUCACAAUCCACAGCUCAAAACAGAAACCAUCCACAUCCUUAUAAAUACCAAGCAACAUCAAACCAGCCUAAACAUUUAAAGAAGUCAAGACCUCAGCCAGAAUCUCAUGCGCGUUACUUGCCGCAGCCUGACCCUUACCAUCCCCAGUCACAGAUCCAGAUGCAGGCCCAGACAAAGCCUCACCCGAUCCAGCAGGAGCAGCUCCAGUCUCAACAGACUGUGCCUGAUCUUCAGCCACAGGCCCGGCAACAAUCACAGGCUCACUUAUAUCGUCAGAGACAUCCCCAACUACGCAACCUCACUCAUUUCUCUGGGCCCCAGCCCCUGCCCUAUUCUCCAAACUAUCCUGAACCCAUCAAAGACAGACAGAGCAGGACAGGUCAGCGGGCUCCACCGCCCCAGGCUUCAGAUGAUCUUCCUCAGCCCAAGUCUUAUCAGUCCAGGGUGAGCGGGUGGGAUGGAGGAGAGGAGGAAGAAAGCGACACAAAAAUAGAGUAUUCAGUGAUUCACACCUUCCUCCAGCUUCCUGUGAGGCACAAGAUCCCUGCACAACCGGUUCCCAAAAAGGAUGCAACCAGUAAGUAAUAGUUAGUACCUCACAAUACUUGAGGUACUUAUUUAGCAGGUACCACAAUAAUCCCAGUAUGGAAAUGUUGCACCG